rnacentral:rRNA from 1 species
UACGAAGGGGGCUAGCGUUGCUCGGAAUCACUGGGCGUAAAGCGCACGUAGGCGGAUCUUUAAGUCAGGGGUGAAAUCCCGGAGCUCAACUCCGGAACUGCCUUUGAUACUGGCGAUCUCGAGUCCGGGAGAGGUGAGUGGAACUGCGAGUGUAGAGGUGAAAUUCGUAGAUAUUCGCAAGAACACCAGUGGCGAAGGCGGCUCACUGGCCCGGUACUGACGCUGAGGUGCGAAAGCGUGGGGAGCAAACAGG